rnacentral:lncRNA from 1 species
UGAUUGUUUAUAUAUGAGGGGGGCUUACAUCAGGGAGGCCAUACCUCUGUCUGAGUGUACGGCAAGGGGUGCAGGGUAUUGUCAUAAAUUCUCUGGAACUAUGGAACACUUACCUGUCAGUAGAUGUCAACCCUAAUUAAUAUACUUUGUGUUGUUGUAACAAUUACCUUGUGUUUGUGUACACAUAUUAAUCGGACAUUCUAAAAAAGAAUACUUUUAAUAAACUACAUUUCAUAGUAACAAAGAAAAUAUAUAUUUACAAUUAUUAAUACCAUGCACAUUGGUUGAAAAAAACUUGAUUUAACUUGCAUGUAGCUUGCAGGACCGAUUUACCUGUAACAUUUGUAGGAACUUAGAUUAUUUUUUGUAUAUAAGAUGACCGAUAGUGCUGUCUCAAUUCAGAGUUUUAACUUUAAAAAACAUGAUUAAGUGUGUAAUAAUAUAGUACAGAAUAGUAUAGAAUGUCUAUCUAUAGCUACAUCCAACGCUUUACAUGUCAUGAUAUAAUGAUAUUCGUCACCGAUAUCUAUUGAGCCGCAGAAAUGACAAAGUCUGUCUUGAAAGGGGUUGGUUAUAAUAACUUUAGGAAAUUAUACUGUUUUUACAAUAACUGUUUACUUGUUAUCAUUUCAAUGAAUAUCAAGUAAUAUUUGUCGAUGGACGGUUGUUGAGUUAAUGCACGGUAUUGUGAAUUUUUUUUUCACAAUUGAAUUUAUAGAACCUUUUGUUAAGAUUCAUUGUCCUAUGUAUCAAAUUAAAAUAGCUUUCUAUUUCCAGUUCUUUGGCGUUUCAACACCACUGCAUGCUCA